UUGAGUAACGUAAGGGGAGUGAGAGACUCCCCCGCCGAAAGACCAAGGGUUCCUGCUUAAAGCUAAUCUGAGCAGGGUUAGCCGGACCCUAAGACGAGGCAGAAAUGCGUAGUCGAUGGGAAUCACGUUAAUAUUCGUGAGCCUGAAGGUAGUGACGGAUCAUCAAUGUUGUUCAACCUUAUUGGAUUGGUUGGGCUGCUGCGUGGUUCCAGGAAAUAGCUCCUUCUUAUAGUCCGUACCCGAAACCGACACUGGUGGUCUGGUAGAGUAUACCAAGGCGCUUGAGAGAACUAUGCUGAAGGAACUCGGCAAAUUGCACGCGUAACUUCGGAAGAAGCGUGACCCAUAUGCACGCAAGUGUAUGUGGGUGGCACAGACCAGGGGGUAGCGACUGUUUAUCAAAAACACAGGGCUCUGCGAAGUCGCAAGACGACGUAUAGGGUCUGACGCCUGCCCGGUGCUGGAAGGUUAAAGGGAGAGGUGCAAGCUUUGAACUGAAGCCCCAGUAAACGGCGGCCGUAACAAUAACGGUCCUAAGGUAGCGAAAUUCCUUGUCGGGUAAGUUCCGACCUGCACGAAUGGCGUAACGACUUCCCCGCUGUCUCCAGCAUAGACUCAGUGAAAUUGAAUUCCCCGUGAAGAUGCGGGGUUCCUGCGGUUAGACGGAAAGACCCCAUGCACCUAUACUAUAGCUUUACAUUGGCAUUCGUAGUGGCAUGUGUAGGAUAGGUGGUAGGCUUUGAAGCAGGGACGCCAGUUUCUGUGGAGCCACCCUUGAAAUACCACCCUUAUCUCUAUGGAUGUCUAACCGCGGCCCCUUAUCGGGGUCCGGGACAAUGUAUGGUGGGUAGUUUGACUGGGGCGGUCGCCUCCUAAAGAGUAACGGAGGCGCGCGAUGGUGGGCUCAGAACGGUCGGAAAUCGUUCGCUGAGUGCAAUGGCAUAAGCCUGCCUGACUGCGAGACUGACAAGUCGAGCAGAGACGAAAGUCGGUCAUAGUGAUCCGGUGGUCCCGCGUGGAAGGGCCAUCGCUCAACGGAUAAAAGGUACGCCGGGGAUAACAGGCUGAUGACCCCCAAGAGUCCAUAUCGACGGGGUUGUUUGGCACCUCGAUGUCGACUCAUCGCAUCCUGGGGCUGGAGCAGGUCCCAAGGGUAUGGCUGUUCGCCAUUUAAAGCGGUACGUGAGUUGGGUUCAGAACGUCGUGAGACAGUUCGGUCCCUAUCUGCCGUGGGUGUAGGAAUAUUGAAAGGAUCUGUCCCUAGUACGAGAGGACCGGGAUGGACGUAUCUCUGGUGGACCUGUUGUGGCGCCAGCCGCAUAGCAGGGUAGCUAUAUACGGACGGGAUAACCGCUGAAGGCAUCUAAGCGGGAAACCCACCUUAAAACGAGUAUUCCCUGAGAGCCGUGGAAGACGACCACGUUGAUAGGCCGGGUGUGGAAGUGCGGCAACGCAUGAAGCUUACCGGUACUAAUAGCUU
rnacentral:rRNA from 1 species